GAUGAACGCUGGCGGCGUGCUUAACACAUGCAAGUCGAACGGGAAGCCUUUUAUUGAAGCUUCGGCAGAUUUAGCUGGUUUCUAGUGGCGGACGGGUGAGUAACGCGUGGGUAACCUGCCUUAUACAGGGGGAUAACAACCAGAAAUGGUUGCUAAUACCGCAUAAGCGCACAGGACCGCAUGGUCCGGUGUGAAAAACUCCGGUGGUAUAAGAUGGACCCGCGUUGGAUUAGCUAGUUGGCAGGGUAACGGCCUACCAAGGCGACGAUCCAUAGCCGGCCUGAGAGGGUGAACGGCCACAUUGGGACUGAGACACGGCCCAGACUCCUACGGGAAGCAGCAGUGGGGAAUAUUGCACAAUGGGGGAAACCCUGAUGCAGCGACGCCGCGUGAAGGAAGAAGUAUCUCGGUAUGUAAACUUCUAUCAGCAGGGAAGAUAGUGACGGUACCUGACUAAGAAGCCCCGGCUAACUACGUG
rnacentral:rRNA from 1 species